AGUGAACGCUGGCGGCAGGCCUAACACAUGCAAGUCGAGCGGAUGAAGGGAGCUUGCUCCUGGAUUCAGCGGCGGACGGGCGAGUAAUGCCUAGGAAUCUGCCUGGUUGUGGGGGAUAACGUCCGGAAACGGGCGCUAAUACCGCAUACGCCCUGAGGGAGAAAGUGGGGGAGCUUCGGACCUUCCGCUAUCAGAUGAGCCUAGGUCGGAUUAGCUAGUUGGUGGGGUAAAGGCCUACCAAGGCGACGAUCCGUAACUGGUCUGAGAGGAUGAUCAGUCACACUGGAACUGAGACACGGUCCAGACUCCUACGGGAGGCAGCAGUGGGGAAUAUUGGACAAUGGGCGAAAGCCUGAUCCAGCCAUGCCGCGUGUGUGAAGAAGGUCUUCGGAUUGUAAAGCACUUUAAGUGGGGAGGAAGGGCAGUAAGUUAAUACCUUGCUGUUUUGACGUUACCAACAGAAUAAGCACCGGCUAACUUCGUG
rnacentral:rRNA from 1 species